UUGGAGGUAGUGACAAUAAAUCACAAUGCGGGACUAUCAGUCUUGCAAUUGGAUUGAGAACAAUGUACAACUCUUAUCGAUAAGCCAUUGGAGGGCAAGUCUGGUGCCAGCAGCCGCGGUAAUUCCAGCUCCAAUAGCGUAUAUUAACGUUGUUGCAGUUAAAAAGCUCGUAGUUGAAGUGUGGGUGGUGCUGUCUGAAUGACUUCGGUUAGUCAGAUGAUCACUACCCCCUUCCAGUAUCCAGUAGUGGGUAUUCAGUUACUUACUAUUGUGUGUUGGUCGUUUACUGUGAGAAAAUUAGAGUGUUCAAAGCAGGCGUUUGCUUGAAUAGAUUAGCAUGGAAUAAUAAUUGAAGGCUUUCGUGUUCGAUUUGAUUGGUUUGUUCAUGGAAGCAAGGUUAAAAGGAACAGUUGGGGGUAUUCAUAUUCACUAGUUAGAGGUGAAAUUCUCGGAUUUAUGGAAGAUGAACAAGUGCGAAAGCAA
rnacentral:rRNA from 1 species